GAUGAAGAACGUAGCGAAAUGCGAUAAGUAAUGUGAAUUGCAGAAUUCAGUGAAUCAUCGAAUCUUUGAACGCACCUUGCGCCCUUUGGCCAUUCCGAAGGGCAUGCCUGUUUUAGUAUCAUGAACACCUCAACUCUUUAUGGUUUUCCAUGAUGAGCUUGGACUCUGGGGGUUUUGCUGGCUCACAGUCGGCUCCUCUAAAAUGAAUCAGCUUACCAGUGUUUGGUGGGUAUCAUGGGUGUGAUAACUAUCUACGCUUGUGGUUUUUCCACCAGGUAACCUUCAGCAGUGGAGGUUCGCUGGAGCUCAUAGAUGUCUCUCCUCAGUGAGGACAGCCCUUUGAAUGUUUGAUCUCAAAUCAGGUAGGACUACCCGCUGAACUUAAGCAUAUCAAUAAGCGGAGGA
rnacentral:misc_RNA from 1 species